GGGGAUGUUUGGUUUCGACAGAUUGUACAUUCAAAAUAUGCAAGCCGAGCAUGAUAUUCACUCGUGCACCCCCACACCAAUUUUUCUUUAUUAUUUAUUCAGAUUACACAAAAAACCAGAAUAUUUACAAGGAAGAAUUGGUGUGGGGGUAAAAAUGUGUAUCAAAGUUAUAAGUGCAAACUUCAUAACAAAAGCAAAAUCAGUAUUUGCGCAAGCAUUUACUUCAAAUUUUGCGGUUGCUACUGCGUAAUCCCUUUCUGGGACAGCAGUAGUCAUCGAACCGUCGAUUUCUAAUAGACGGAUCUCGGUGUCAUUAUUAUUAGAAUAGUUACUUCGAUAUUUUCUAAGUCGAAUUAGCAAAACUACAUUAGGAAUAGAUUGAAAAGGUUUCGUCUGCUUAUCACUUUUCAAUUGAAGCAACUAAGCAAACUAAGCUUGUAGAUUAUUUUAGAUAGAUAAUUUUGGACAUGGGUUCAAUUCCCAUCAUCUCCACAG
rnacentral:tmRNA from 1 species